GGCUGCAGUCCCCCCUUUUUUCUUGCAUUUUUUUUUUUCAAUUUUUUGAAGUGAACUAUUUUUGGAGUGCUAUUGUGCAAUUGCCACAGCAAUGUAUUUGGGUUGUGGAUUUGGAGCAACUUUGCACUCUCCAGGCAUUCUUUUGGCCGUUUCAGGAUCCACCCCUGUAACCAUUGAAUCCCUUGAAUGGUGCAGUGUAUAUUACGGUGAUGAAAGAUAUGUUUAUUCUCAAAAUUUGUCUGUUUGCAUCAGAUUAACUUACCACAUCUUCACCCCCUCUCCAACCUUUUUUGUUUUUUCCCUUUACGAUAAGUUUUUGGUACCCUAAUUGAUAUAACCUUGAAUGGUGAGCAUGAAGUGUCUAUAAUUAUUACCAAAAACACAAUUACCACUGCUGACUUAAUUAACUCCAACCGCUGCGCAUUAAUUCUCUUUUUUAUUGACUGGUAAUUGAUAAUUACGCUGUUGACAAUAGACCAUUCCCCUUAGUAGGUACUGGGGAACUUCUACAGGCAAUGACAUAACUUGUGCUCUCUUUGGUGAAUAAUACCCAGUUAAGGAACAAAAAUCAACAAGAUUCAUUCUCAGUUCCUGGAAUUUUUUAUACCCAUCAUUGUUCAUUAAAAAAAUGCCUGCCUGGAAGGCAACAAAUAUCUUUUAGGGAACAACAAAUGCAGCUCUUUAUUAUUACAUAUAUUUUAGUACAUCUCAUAUAUCUUAAUCUGUUACAUUACAAAUGAGGGGUUGAUGUCGCUUUACAACUACGGCACAAAGAUUCUUUUUAAUUUCUUCUCUGACCUCUCCAAAAUGGUGCAUCCAAAAAUUAGUCACAACAAACGUUUCUCAUCCCAAAUUCCCUUUAUCACACAUUUCAGACCCAGUACGCUUACUAUAAGUAUCCCACUCCUCCACCUCCCCCCACCCCCUCCACCACAGGGUGGGCAAUUUUCAUUAUGGUACAGAAGUAUAUAAAAUGCUCACCCUCACAGUAAUUCAGGUCAUUUAAAAUAAGACUGGGUAUUCAAUAUGGUAGACUCUAAUAAUUAACCAAAAUUUUUGNCCCAAGAGAAGGUGGU